CCGGAAAUAGGGCAGGAUUAGCGGAGGUGGGGAAUGCGCUUCCAAGGGAGGCGCAACGCAGAGGGGAUGCGAGAUGGAACCCCCGGAGCGGCCGCCGCGGGAGAUGGCCCCGGCUGGCGCCGGCCGUUCAGGGAAAAGCAUGACUGCAGUAUGCUACUACCACAAAUUACGCAGCUGAGUUUCCCACAUUUGGAGAAAUCACAGGGAUCAGCAAGUCUUCAGUGGACUAGAGAAGCCUUGUCCUAGGAAAAACUACCCUUGUGGUCAUGGUAUCUACCCUGCCUGAUUCUGUACAUGCUUUAUUACUGGGGUCUCCAACCCCUGGGCCAGAAACCAGUACUGGUCUGCGGACUGUUAGGAACUGGGCCACACAGCAAGAGGGUCUUACUCUGUUGCCCAGGCUGGAGUACAGUGGCAUGAUCUCGGCUCACUGCAAGCUC